GAGCUAUCUAACCAGCCCAUAAAGUUGUUUCUUAAUUAUACCUGUCUGCUAUGCCUGUGUAGCAGCCAGGGAUGCUUGGUCUCAUACAU
rnacentral:snoRNA from 1 species